rnacentral:rRNA from 1 species
CAUGCAAGUCGAACGGAGUAGCAAUACUCAGUGGCAGACGGGUGAGUAACAUGUAGGUAUCUGCCCUUUGGCCUGGAAUAACACGAGGAAACUUGUGCUAAUACCGGAUAAGUCUUUACGGAGAAAGCUUUAUGCACCAUUGGAUGAGCCUGCACUUGAUUAGUUUGUUGGUGGGGUAAUGGCCUACCAAGACUUUGAUCAAUAGCUGAUUUGAGAGGAUGAUCAGCCACAUUGGGACUGAGACACGGCCCAAACUCCUACGGGAGGCAGCAGUGGGGAAUCUUGCACAAUGGAGGAAACUCUGAUGCAGCGAUGCCGCGUGAGUGAAGAAGGCCCUUGGGUUGUAAAGCUCUUUCGUCGGGGAAGAAAAUGACUGUACCCGAAUAAGAAGGUCCGGCUAACUUCGUGCCAGCAGCCGCGGUAAUACGAAGGGACCUAGCGUAGUUCGGAAUUACUGGGCUUAAAGAGUUCGUAGGUGGUUGAAAAAGUUGGUGGUGAAAUCCCAGAGCUUAACUCUGGAACUGCCAUCAAAACUUUUCAGCUAGAGCUUGAUAGAGGAAAGCAGAAUUUCUAGUGUAGAGGUGAAAUUCGUAGAUAUUA